rnacentral:rRNA from 1 species
UACGUAGGGGGCGAGCGUUGUCCGGAUUUACUGGGCGUAAAGCGCGUGUAGGCGGCCGUUUAAGUCGGGUGUGAAAGCCCGGGGCUCAACCCCGGGAUGCCGCCCGAGACUGGACGGCUUGAGGUCGGAAGAGGGGAGUGGAAUUCCAGGUGUAGCAGUGAAAUGCGUAGAUAUUGACAGGAACACCAGUGGCGUAAGCGGCUAUCUGGACGGGUAUUGACGCUGAGGCGCGAAAGCGUGGGGAUCAAACAGG